CUACGGGUGGCACCAGUCGAGAAUCUUCCGCAAUGGACGAAAGUCUGACGGAGCGACGCCGCGUGCGGGAUGAAGGCCUUCGGGUUGUAAACCGCUGUCAGUGGGGAGGAAAUGCAUCAGGGUUCUCCCUGGUGUUUGACCGAUCCGCAGAGGAAGCGCAGGCUAAGUUCGUGCCAGCAGCCGCGGUAACACGAACUGCGCGAACGUUAUUCGGAAUCACUGGGCUUAAAGAGUUCGUAGGCGGCCUUUCAAGUCGGGUGUGAAAUCCCUCGGCUCAACCGAGGAAUUGCGCCUGAUACUGUUGGGCUUGAGGGGGAUAGGGGUGAGCGGAACUGAUGGUGGAGCGGUGAAAUGCGUUGAUAUCAUUAGGAACACCGGUGGCGAAGGCGGCUCACUGGAUCUCUUCUGACGCUGAGGAACGAAAGCUAGGGGAGCGAACGGGAUUAGAUACCCGGGUAGUC
rnacentral:rRNA from 1 species